GUAAGUGGAUGUCAUAGGUGGCAGAGGUUAGGUGCGGAGCAACAGGAGGCUAGGGUUUCUGCUGAAGAAUUUAGGUUUUGGGCCAAUCGGACCUCUAGGUUUUUUUUUAUAUUUUGGGCUUGUUGUUUUUGUUUUAUUUUCCCUAGUGGGCUGGGCAAAUUUGGGCUUCUACAGCUGCCCCUCUUUGUUCAUUGUCGUGUAACAAGAAUAGAGCAAAGACUUCAAAAGGGCCAAUUUUGCCUAGUUUUUCCAAGUCUCGACUUGUUCUGGUGCUUCUCUUCUUCAAGUAGCUUCAUUUCAGUCCACUGCGUCUGGUUGCUUCGAUCCACUUUGCUGCAACUUUUGGGGGACGUGGUUGGU
rnacentral:lncRNA from 1 species